UACGUGGGGUGCAAGCGUUAAUCGGAAUUACUGGGCGUAAAGCGUGCGCAGGCGGCUUUGCAAGACAGAUGUGAAAUCCCCGGGCUUAACCUGGGAACUGCAUUUGUGACUGCAUGGCUGGAGUGCGGCAGAGGGGGAUGGAAUUCCGCGUGUAGCAGUGAAAUGCGUAGAUAUGCGGAGGAACACCGAUGGCGAAGGCAAUCCCCUGGGCCUGCACUGACGCUGAGGAGCGAAAGCGUGGGGAGCGAACAGG
rnacentral:rRNA from 1 species